UACAGAGGUGGCAAGCGUUGUUCGGAAUUACUGGGCGUAAAGGGCGCGUAGGCGGCCUGCUAAGUCGAACGUGAAAUCCCCGAGCUCAACUCGGGAACUGCGUCCGAUACUGACAGGCUUGAAUCCGGGAGAGGGAUGCGGAAUUCCAGGUGUAGCGGUGAAAUGCGUAGAUAUCUGGAGGAACACCGGUGGCGAAGGCGGCAUCCUGGACCGGCAUUGACGCUGAGGCGCGACAGCGUGGGGAGCAAACAGG
rnacentral:rRNA from 1 species